CCUGGCUCAGGAUGAACGCUAGCGGCAGGCCUAAUACAUGCAAGUCGAGCGGCAAGUCGAGGAGUAAUCUAAGACCUAGAGCGGCGCACGGGUGCGUAACGCGUAUGCAACCUACCUCAUACAGGGGGAUAGCCCGGAGAAAUCUGGAUUAAUACCCCAUGGUACUGUUAAUCAGCAUUGAUAUACAGUUAAAGAUUCAUCGGUAUGAGAUGGGCAUGCGUCUGAUUAGCUUGUUGGUGAGGUAAAAAGCUCACCAAGGCGACGAUCUUUAGCUGGUCUGAGAGGAUGAUCAGCCACACUGGGACUGAGACACGGCCCAGACUCCUACGGGAGGCAGCAGUGGGGAAUUUUCCACAAUGGGCGAAAGCCUGAUGGAGCAAUACCGCGUGAAGGAUGAAGGAUCGUGGUCCGUAAACUUCUUUUCUUAACGAAGAAAUUCUGACGGUAGUUAAGGAAUAAGCACCGGCUAACUCCGUG
rnacentral:rRNA from 1 species